UGCACUGACAAGAACGCAGGA
rnacentral:miRNA from 1 species